rnacentral:sRNA from 1 species
UCAGCUCGUGUCGUGAGAUGUUGGAUUAAGUCCCGCAACGAGCGCAACCAUCAUCUUCAGUUGCUAACGCGUAGGGCGAGCACUUAGGAGAAACUGCCUGGGAUGACUAGGAGGAAGGCGAGGAUGACGUCAAGUCCUCAUGGCCCUUAUGGGCUGGGCUACACACGUGCUACAAUGGCGGUGACAACGGGAAGCAAUUGGGCAACCUUGAGCAAAUCCCCAAAAACCGUCUCAGUUCGGAUUGUACUCUGCAACUCGAGUGCAUGAAGUUGGAAUCGCUAGUAAUCGUGGAUCAGCAUGCCGCGGUGAAUACGUUCCCGGGCCUUGUACACACCGCCCGUCACACCAUGGGAGUUGGUUUUACCUGAAGGCGGUGCGCUAACCUUUUGGAAGCAGCCGACCACGGUAGGGUCAGCGACUAGGGUGAAGUCGUAACAAGGUAGCCGUAGGGGAACCUGCGGCUGGAUCACCUCCUUUCUAAGGAUGUUUCAGGUGGAUUAUGCAUCACUGUCCAUGAAUUCCUUCCGAUAUAUAUACAGGCGCGUAGCUCAGUUGGUUAGAGCGCACGACUGAUAAUCGUGAGGUCGGCAGUUCAAAUCUGCCCGUGCCUACCAUAAUUGCGCACAAGACUGCGAUUAAAGUAUAUAUUGGAAUGAAUUUGCCAAAAUAUGGCAGCUAUUUGAUAAAGUAAGUGAAUUAGAUCUCAAGAACAUUAGCAUAUGAAGCUUGACCGCAUUCAUAUGUCUUGCUUGCGUUCCGUGUAUCGGUAGCUUAGAUUAUGCCUUAGUUUACGGUGCGAUCCAGCGUCUUAAAGGGCAUUUGGUGGACGCCUUGGCGUUGAGAGGCGAUGAAGGACGUAAUACGCUGCGAUA